rnacentral:rRNA from 1 species
UACGUAGGGUGCGAGCGUUAAUCGGAAUUACUGGGCGUAAAGCGUGCGCAGGCGGCUUCGCAAGUCAGGCGUGAAAUCCCCGGGCUUAACCUGGGAAUGGCGUCUGAAACUACGGAGCUGGAGUGUGGCAGAGGGAGGUAGAAUUCCACGUGUAGCGGUGAAAUGCGUAGAUAUGUGGAGGAAUACCGAUGGCGAAGGCAGCCUCCUGGGCCAACACUGACGCUCAUGCACGAAAGCGUGGGGAGCGAACAGG